GAUAAACUUGUAAACAUAACGGUACUAAAGAACGGAAAAUUCUAUUUAAAGUAGAUUAUAAUAAAACUAAAAAUCAAAAAGAAAAAGUUUAUUAAAAGGAUUUAGUGUUUAAGGUGUAAAAGGAACGUAAAGAAAUAAAUUAAAUACAUACUUAAGAAAAAAAUAAAUCAAACAAAUUUGUAAAAAUUAAAGCUUUAAGAAAACAAAUUAUUUAAAUUGGAAAUUCUAGAAAAUAAUCAGAAGAAAAACAACAAAAUUGAAAAAAAUAUAUAAUAGAUAUUGAAGUCAAGGUUAUUGUUUGUGUUUAUGUGUGUGAAUGUGUAAAUGUAUUGGUUUUGUUUGUUUUGUGUGUAAAACUUUAUAAAAGAUGUUGAUGAUGAUGUCAUGUUUAUAAAAAUUUAAUAAUUGUUAUCUUUAAAUACCAAAUUAAAGCAAAAUUCUAAAAGAUAUUAAAGUAUUACUGCUUAAAUGAAUGAAUGAUUUUAGUUACGGCUUAAAGUUUAAUUUAUUUGCCAUAACUAAGGAUUAUUUACUACUCGGCUACUAUUACAUGUCAAGGGAGUAAAAACAAAGCAUAAAAUGAAAAUCCAUUUUUAUUCUUCUUUCUAAGAAAAUAUAAAAAAAAUAAAUAAAAACGAUAACAAACGAAACGACAGCAUCAGAUAAUUGUGGAUUACUCAAGGGCAACACCCCAACUGUGAUUUGUUUUCUUCGUUUGUAAACUAACUCACGUUACAACAAAGAAAAUAUUAAAAAGAAAAAACACAAAUAACAAAAAUA